rnacentral:tRNA from 1 species
GCUGUAGCUCAGUGGUAGAGAGCUUGCCUAGCAUGUAUGAGGCACUGGGUUCAAUCCUCAGCACA